UACGGAGGGUGCAAGCGUUAUCCGGAUUCACUGGGUUUAAAGGGUGCGUAGGUGGGCAGGUAAGUCAGUGGUGAAAUCUCCGGGCUUAACUCGGAAACUGCCAUUGAUACUAUCUUUCUUGAAUACCGUGGAGGUCAGCGGAAUAUGUCAUGUAGCGGUGAAAUGCUUAGAUAUGACAUAGAACACCAAUUGCGAAGGCAGCUGGCUACACGAAUAUUGACACUGAUGCACGAAAAGCGUGGGGAUCAAACAGG
rnacentral:rRNA from 1 species